AGUGUUAUUUGGAAGUAGAACAACACUGUUACGGAUAACCAGAUUCUCAACUUCAGAUAAAGACAAAAUAAUCACCCAAAUAUUAUUUGAAUGUAACAAAAGCACUGUUGUUCCAGCUUUGUUUAGUUGUAUAUUGUUGCAGCUCACUCAGAUCUGUCUUGUUAUUGUGUAAGAAAAGGUCCUUCAUAGAUAUUGUUCAAGGCAGAUGCAUUGUGUGACUCUGUCAAGCAGUAAAGUCAUCUUUGGAACAGGGACCAAACUAAUUAUUGAAACCAGAGAGAAACAUGACCCAUCUUACUACAGCUUGAAGUCAAGAAAUACCACAGCUUGCCUGGCUACAGAUUUCAGCGCACACAAUGCUACUACGCACUUGGAAUUAUUCAACAAGACAGAGGCCACCAGAAUGAAUGGGGACAGCUACUACAGCCAGGUUGCCCUCGGAGGAGAAAAUUGCACUGAAGGUGGUUCAGAGAAAUGUGAAGCAAACUGGUAUUUUGACACAGAUGCAAAGAUCAACUUCCUAUCCCUGACCAUUCUGGGCCUGAGAAUUCUGUUCCUGAAGACCAUCGUUUUCAACGUGCUGAUAACUCUUCGACUGUGGAUGAGUUAGAAAGAUGUCCAUCAGUCCCUCAAAGACAACACAAGAAAUCCUUCCCAGAAGAACUAUUGAAUUGAAUUGUAAUUACAUCCUCACUGUAGGAAGUAGAUUGCACUCAUUGGAAUCUCUUGAUUGUCUGGAAUGUCAAAUACAUCACUAUCCUCCCAGACAGACAUUGGUUCAAAUUAAGAAUCCAGCAUUGAUUAGCAGAAAACAUGUCUGUUGAAGGAUUUGUAAACAUGUUCUUCAAGUCAUAAAUAUGAUAUGAUAUUCUAAUUUGCUUACCUGUAUAUAUAUAUUUCUCUCCAACUGUUGUGACUUGUGAUAGUACAUCAAAUUGUUUUUGAUUCUGCUCUCUCUUUGCUUGAAAUAUAAUGAACCUCAAUUUGUAUUAUUCUUUAGAGUAAAAAUAUAUAUAGCUAAAUGUAACGGAAAUAUAUAAGAAACUAUUCCUUUUUUUGUAUAUUGAUUUAAAAAACAGUCUUUGUAAAGUGUUUUGUUUUGAUGAAAAUAUUAAUUAAAUAAAUACAUUAUAUGGA